rfam:Ricinus communis ctg_1100012351114, whole genome shotgun sequence.
GGGCUAAUGAUGAUAAUAAUAGUAAUUAUCUUAGCGGAUUUCAGUGAGACAUCAAUGAUCUGAUUGUUACACACAUUGAAGCCC